GGGGAAUAUUGCACAAUGGGCGCAAGCCUGAUGCAGCGACGCCGCGUGAGGGAUGACGGCCUUCGGGUUGUAAACCUCUUUCAGCAGGGACGAAGCUUUUGUGACGGUACCUGCAGAAGAAGCACCGGCCAACUACGCGCCAGCAGCCGCGGUAAUACGUAGGGUGCAAGCGUUGUCCGGAAUUACUGGGCGUAAAGAGCUCGUAGGCGGUUUGUCGCGUCGUCUGUGAAAUUCUGCAGCUUAACUGCAGGCGUGCAGGCGAUACGGGCAGACUUGAGUACUACAGGGGAGACUGGAAUUCCUGGUGUAGCGGUGAAAUGCGCAGAUAUCAGGAGGAACACCGGUGGCGAAGGCGGGUCUCUGGGUAGUAACUGACGCUGAGGAGCGAAAGUGUGGGUAGCGAAC
rnacentral:rRNA from 1 species